ensembl:rRNA 5S_rRNA 5S ribosomal RNA
GCUUACGGCCAUACCACCCUGAACAUGCCCGAUCUCGGAAGCUAAGCAGGGUCGGGCCUGGUUAGUACUUGGAUGGGAGACCGCCUGGGAAUACCAGGUGCUGUAAGCU